UUCCGUAGGUGAACCUGCGGAAGGAUCAUUAUAUGAUUGGCCUAACGGCCUUAUCAACAUAAUCCCUCACCUCUGUGAACCGUUGACCUCCGGGUCUACAUAACAAACAUCAGUGUAAAGAACGUCUUUAUAUUUUAACAAAAUAAAACUUUCAACAACGGAUCUCUUGGCUCUCGCAUCGAUGAAGAACGCAGCGAAAUGCGAUAAGUAAUGUGAAUUGCAGAAUUCAGUGAAUCAUCGAAUCUUUGAACGCACCUUGCGCCUUUUGGUAUUCCGAAAGGCAUGCCUGUUUGAGUGUCAUGAAAUCUCAAUCCCCCCGGGUUUUCUGAACCCGAGGUGGACUUGGACAUGGGUGUCUGCCGUCUCGUACGGCUCGCCUUAAAUGACUCAGUGGGAUCUUCAGCAUCCGUGGCAGACGUAAUAAGUUUCGUCUCGUCCCUUGCUGUGAGGACCGCUCAUAACCUGCCAUCGCGCACCACUUUUGACUCUGACCUCAAAUCAGGUAGGACUACCCCGCUGAACUUAAGCAUAUCAAUAGCC
rnacentral:rRNA from 1 species